rnacentral:sRNA from 1 species
UUUGAAAUGUAGUCGCUGUCAGGGUUGAAUCAAGUGGGCUGUGCUGCUACCCUGCCUCAUUCUUCUGCCUUCACGCCUCGUAAGGUCAUGCUUCACCCCUUCCUCCAUCUGCUGCACCUACCACUGAUCCUACAGAUUCCAUAACAAGGCAGAAUUCAAGACAGAGAGAAGAAGAGCUGAAAUUAAUAGAUCAACUGCGUAAACAUAUUGAGUACCGGUUGAAAGUGUCUCUGCCUUGUGAUCUUGGAGCAGCUCUAACUGACGGUGUUGUUCUUUGCCAUUUGGCCAAUCAUGUGCGACCUCGAUCUGUCCCAAGCAUUCAUGUUCCCUCACCAGCUGUACCUAAAUUAACAAUGGCGAAAUGCAGGCGAAAUGUGGAGAAUUUCCUAGAAGCUUGCAGAAAAAUUGGUGUACCUCAGGACAAUCUUUGUUCCCCUUCCGACAUCCUUCAGCUAAACCUCAGCGUUAAAAGAACUGUUGAAACGCUCCUUUCUCUUGGGGCACACUCAGAAGAAUCCAG